UACAGAGGGUGCGAGCGUUGUCCGGAAUCACUGGGCGUAAAGGGCGCGUAGGCGGUUGGGGCAGUCCGUGGUGAAAGCUCGUGGCUCAACUACGAGUCGGCCAUGGAUACUCCUUGACUUGGAGCACUGUAGAGGCAGAUGGAAUUCCGGGUGUAGCGGUGGAAUGCGUAGAGAUCCGGAAGAACACCGGUGGCGAAGGCGGUCUGCUGGGCAGUAGCUGACGCUGAGGCGCGACAGCGUGGGGGAGCAAACAGG
rnacentral:rRNA from 1 species